rnacentral:misc_RNA from 1 species
GCCUGCCUUGCAUUUAUUCGUUUAUGCAACCUACUAAUUGCCUGAAGAUUUCUUUUAUUUAUAAAAGUACAUAAUACAGGCCAAGUCUUUUUCCCCUAUAUAUGACUCAGAUGAGAACCCCUGAGCCUAUGUAACUGCUACGCCAAAACCUAUAAUAACUGGCAAAAGCAGCUACAAAAUAAAAGAGAAGCAAUCUUGAUUCCUGUGUAUACAAGAAACAAACUACCUGUAAAUUUCAAGAAGAAAUCAGGACUCAUCUAAAGGACUAGUUAUUAUCAUUGCAUGUGUAGGACAUACCAAUUUCUAUGGCUCCUUAUUUACCCCCAAGAAGGCAAAAAAAAAAUAAAAAGAAUUAUUCCUUUUGCCACAGUAAUGCAUCCAGGAACUCAUAACCUUUUCCUAUUUAUUUCAAAGCAGGACCUUGGGAUACCCUUCAGUUAACAAAGAAAAGCCAAGAGCCAUUUUAGUCCACGUUUAUCUCUUCAAGCAUGAAAAUGGCAUUGGGAUAUGCUUUAAGGUAGAAACGUCAAACAACUCCAUGAAUCUUUGAUCUGAAACCCUCGCCUUGGCAGCUGCGAACCUCUGGUACUCAUCGAAAAUGGAUGAUAGGCACCAUCUUUGCAAUUUUCUCAAGCAACCCACAACACAACCAGUU